rnacentral:rRNA from 1 species
GAUGAACGCUAGCGGCAGGCCUAACACAUGCAAGUCGAGGGAGGAGCUUUCGGGCUUCGACCGGCGUACGGGUGCGUAACGCGUAUACAAUCUGCCUUUCACAUAGGGAUAGCCCGAAGAAAUUUGGAUUAAUACCUAAUGGUAUAUAGAGGUGGCAUCACCUUUAUAUUAAAGCUGAGGCGGUGAAAGAUGAGUAUGCGCUCUAUUAGCUAGUUGGAGAGGUAACGGCUCCCCAAGGCGACGAUAGAUAGGGGUUCUGAGAGGGAUAUCCCCCACACUGGUACUGAGAUACGGACCAGACUCCUACGGGAGGCAGCAGUGAGGAAUAUUGGGCAAUGGUCGGAAGACUGAUCCAGCCAUGCCGCGUGCAGGAAGACGGCCUUAUGGGUUGUAAACUGCUUUUGCAGGGGAAGAAUAAGGACUACGCGUAGUUUGAUGACGGUACUCUGCGAAUAAGCAUCGGCUAACUCCGUG